AUGUCGGGUCCUCCGGGUCCUCCGGGCGUACCGGGGCCCCCUGGUGGUGGAUCAGUGGAGUCAGUGGAUGACCUUGCUAGUCGCGUCAUUGCAUACAUCCAGAGUGGAGGUAUUGCUAGUGGGGUGCCUGGACCUCCAGGCCCGCCUGGCGCUCCAGGUGGAGGCAGUACAUCGCUAAAUGACAUCAUCAGCCUUCUACAGAGGGAGGAAGUGCGACACUACAUCGUCGGUCCUCCUGGCCCUGCUGGACCUCCUGGCAUCCCAGGGAUCCCAUGGAGAGGAGGCUAUGGCUUUAAUACCAAUGAGGUGGCUGGACGAGUCCUCAAUCUAAUGAAUGAGCAGGGUAUGGUGGGCAUGCUCGGACCCCCUGGACCUCCCGGCCCACCGGGCCUACCUGGGUCCUACAGUGACAUCUCUUAUCUUCUGCAAAAUGCUGAAUACAAAGGCGUCUUGGGUGCUCAGGGGCCUCCUGGUCCACCUGGUGUCCCAGGCCCUGCUGGCCCUCAAGGCCCCGCCGGUCCUUCAGGACAGGCCCCCUACAGCAGCUCUGGAUACAGGCUGGAGGAGGUCAAGGACUACAUACAGAGUGAUGGUAUAAGAGGGGGAAUGUUUGGGCCUCCAGGCCCCCCAGGUCCCCCUGGACCCCAGGGACAUAAGGGAGAGCAGGGUAGCUCUGGGUACGGCCACGCCUUCGACCACAGGACCAGCGAGGGAAGAAGGCUGGCUGAGACUGAGACAGACUACUCCAAUAUAGCGGUCCGAGUGACUGACUACAUCAAGUACCAUGGUCUGUUGAGGGAUGUGGUUGAGAACCAGUCUCAGCUGGAGAAGUCACAGGUUGUUCAAGGACCCCCAGGACCCCCUGGCCCUCCCGGUGCACCAGGAUUCAGCCGUGUGUUUGGUUCCCAUAGUAACGCCACUGACCUUGUGGAAUACAUCAGAGCCCAUGGAAACAUUGUGGGACCCCCUGGAAGGCCAGGACAGAAAGGGGACAUAGGACAUACAGGUCACAAAGGCGAGAGAGGACUAGAUGGCAUCCCAGGAAGGACAGGCCUCAAUGGUCUGGAGUGGAAAAGGGGGGGAAAGGGGGAGAAAGGAGAAUACACACUUGUGACGCACAGAAGAAAGAGGAAUGUUGGUGUUUGA
ensembl:lncRNA